UAAGACAGAGGGUGCAAACGUUGCUCGGAAUUACUGGGCGUAAAGCGCGUGUAGGCGGCCUGUUAAGUCGGGUGUGAAAUCCCUCGGCUCAACCGAGGAAGUGCAUUCGAUACUGACAGGCUCGAGUACCGGAGAGGGUCGUGGAAUUCCUGGUGUAGAGGUGAAAUUCGUAGAUAUCAGGAGGAACACCGGCGGCGAAGGCGGCGACCUGGACGAGUACUGACGCUCAGACGCGAAAGCGUGGGUAGCAAACAGGAUUAGAUACCCUGGUAGUCCACGCUGUAAACGAUGGGUACUAGGUGUCGCGGGUAUUGACCCCUGCGGUGCCGAAGCUAACGCAUUAAGUACCCCGCCUGGGGACUACGGCCGCAAGGCUA
rnacentral:rRNA from 1 species